AUUGAACGCUGGCGGCGUGCUUUACACAUGCAAGUCGGACGAGUGGCGAACGGGUGAGUAACGCAUCGGAACGUACCGAGUAAUGGGGGAUAACUGUCCGAAAGGACAGCUAAUACCGCAUAUUCUUCUAGCGGCCGAUGUCUGAUUAGCUGGUUGGCGGGGUAAAGGCCCACCAAGGCGACGAUCAGUAGCGGGUCUGAGAGGAUGAUCCGCCACACUGGGACUGAGACACGGCCCGGACUCCUACGGGAGGCGGCAGUGGAGAAUUUUGGACAAUGGGCGAAAGCCUGAUCCAGCCAUGCCGCGUGUCUAUAGAGGCCCUUCGGGUUGUAAAGGACUUUUGUCAGGGAAGCGGUACCUGAAGAAUAAGCACCGGCUAACUACGUGCCAGCCGCCGCGGUAAUUC
rnacentral:rRNA from 1 species